rnacentral:rRNA from 1 species
AUUGAACGCUGGCGGCAGGCCUAACACAUGCAAGUCGAGCGGCAGCGGGAAGUAGCUUGCUACUUUGCCGGCGAGCGGCGGACGGGUGAGUAAUGUCUGGGAAACUGCCUGAUGGAGGGGGAUAACUACUGGAAACGGUAGCUAAUACCGCAUAACGUCGCAAGACCAAAGAGGGGGACCUUCGGGCCUCUUGCCAUCAGAUGUGCCCAGAUGGGAUUAGCUAGUAGGUGGGGUAACGGCUCACCUAGGCGACGAUCCCUAGCUGGUCUGAGAGGAUGACCAGCCACACUGGAACUGAGACACGGUCCAGACUCCUACGGGAGGCAGCAGUGGGGAAUAUUGCACAAUGGGCGCAAGCCUGAUGCAGCCAUGCCGCGUGUAUGAAGAAGGCCUUCGGGUUGUAAAGUACUUUCAGCGGGGAGGAAGGUGCUGAGGUUAAUAACCUCAGCAAUUGACGUUACCCGCAGAAGAAGCACCGGCUAGCUCCGUGCCAGCCGCCGCCGUAAAAC